rnacentral:lncRNA from 1 species
CUCUACAUCAGUUUUGCUACAGCUCUAGGAUACCACACUUCUCUGCAGUGAGACCAUGGACAUCAUGUUAUUCAGAUGGUCUAGGAUGCCGCUGGAGGAGGAUUCAGAGAUCUGUGCUUGACAUUAUUCCUCAGUAUUGAGUGUGUGGUGCUGGGUAAUGAAAAAACUUCAUGUUGGGUCCUAGACUUGAGCUUCUUAGCCAUGUUUGUACGGCAGAUUGGAUCUGAAGGUGGAGUCAUCGGAGCAGAGUGUCUGGGUACAAGUGACUUUUGAAGCUUUUUACAGGCUGGGGACAUGGUUGAGUUGAUAAAGUGCUUGCUGUGCAUUCUGGUUUCAUUCCGCUGCUGCAAGAAGACAUCUUGAACAAAAGCAGCACAGAGGAGCAACGUUUAUUCCAGGUCAUAGUCCAUUGUUGAACGAAAUUGGGGCAGGUCCUCAAG